AUUGAACGCUGGCGGCAGGCCUCACACAUGCAAGUCGAACGAGUGGCGGACGGGUGCGUAAUGUCUGGGAAACUGCCCGAUGGAGGGGGAUAACUACUGGAAACGGUAGCUAAUACCGCAUACCAUCGGAUGUGCCCAGAUGGGAUUAGCUUGUAGGUUAGGUAACGGCUCACCUAGGCGACGAUCCCUAGCUGGUCUGAGAGGAUGACAAGUAACAGGUGAACUGAGACACGUGCCAGACUCCGACGGGAGGCAGGCGUGGGGAAUAUUGAAAAAGGGGCUCAGGCUUGAGGCAGCCAUGCCGCGUGUAGGAAGAAGGCCUUCGGGUUGUAAAGGACUUUCAGCGGGGAGGCGUUACCCGCAGAAGAAGCACAGGCUAACUCCGUGCCAGCAGCCGCGGUUAUAC
rnacentral:rRNA from 1 species